GAGCGGAAGCAGACAGAAGAGAGCCAUUAUAUUUUAUGGUGUGUAAAAAGUAAGAAUCACUGAUGAUAUACUUUCUAGUUUGGAAACUAGCUAGCUCAUUUAUUCAGGUUAGUUCCUAAAUGAAAAUUGAAUAUUUCCUGUGACUCAAAUUAAAAUGUAUAUCAAGUUCAUUGGGACACUUAAGCUUCUGUUUUCAUUCCAAACUGUAUCUGGCUUUUUGACUGUUUGAUUAUUUUAACACUGGAAAUUAUCUCACGGGAAGAAAUGACUGCAAGUCACG